rnacentral:rRNA from 1 species
UUGGAGGGCAAGUCUGGUGCCAGCAGCCGCGGUAAUUCCAGCUCCAAUAGCGUAUAUUAAAGUUGCUGCAGUUAAAAAGCUCGUAGUUGAAUUUCAGGACCAUCAUGUCGGUCGUGCCACGGUACGUACUGGCAUUGUUGGUUUCUCCCUUCUGACGAACCAUGAUGUCAUUUAUUUGGUGUCGUGGGAAAUCAGGACUGUUACUUUGAAAAAAUUAGAGUGUUUAAAGCAGGCUCACGCUUGAAUACAUUAGCAUGGAAUAAUGAAAUAGGACGUUUGAUUCUAUUUUGUUGGUUUCUAGGAUCGACGUAAUGAUUAAUAGGGAUAGUUGGGGGCAUUAGUAUUCAAUUGUCAGAGGUGAAAUUCUUGGAUUUAUUGAAGACUAACUACUGCGAAAGCAUUUGCCAAGGAUGUUUUCAUUAAUCAAGAACGAAAGUUAGGGAUCGAAGACGAUCAGAUACCGUCGUAGUCUUAACCAUAAACUAUGCCGACUAGGGAUCGGAUGAUGUUAAUUUUUUAAUGACUCAUUCGGCGCCUUACAGGAAACCAAAGUGUUUGGGUUC